rnacentral:rRNA from 1 species
GACGAACGCUGGCGGCGUGCUUAACACAUGCAAGUCGAGCGGUAAGGCCCUUUCGGGGUACGACGAGCGGCGAACGGGUAGGAGUAACAACGUGGGUGGACCUCGUCCCUCCAGCUCUGGGAGUAAGACCUCGGGAAACCGGGGUACCGUAAUAACUGGAGUAUGACUCCACUGACGCAUGUUGGUUGGGGUGGGAAAGACCUU